GACGAACGCUGGCGGCGUGCCUAAUACAUGCAAGUCGAGCGGAUUGAUGGGAGCUUGCUCCCAUCARUCAGCGGCGGACGGGUGAGUAACACGUGGGUAACCUGCCUGUAAGACUGGGAUAACUCCGGGAAACCGGGGCUAAUACCGGAUAACUCAUUUCCUCGCAUGAGGAAAUGUUGAAAGGUGGCUUUUAGCUAUCACUUACAGAUGGACCCGCGGCGCAUUAGCUAGUUGGUGAGGUAAUGGCUCACCAAGGCGACGAUGCGUAGCCGACCUGAGAGGGUGAUCGGCCACACUGGGACUGAGACACGGCCCAGACUCCUACGGGAGGCAGCAGUAGGGAAUCUUCCGCAAUGGACGAAAGUCUGACGGAGCAACGCCGCGUGAGUGAUGAAGGUUUUCGGAUCGUAAAGCUCUGUUGUUAGGGAAGAACAAGUACCGUUCGAAUAGGGCGGUACCUUG
rnacentral:rRNA from 1 species